UACGAAGGGGGCUAGCGUUGUUCGGAAUUAUUGGGCGUAAAGCGCGUGUAGGCGGGCCGUUAAGUCGGGGGUGAAAGCCCAGAGCUCAACUCUGGAAUUGCCUCGAUACUGGCGGCCUGGAGCAUGAUAGAGGCGAGUGGAAUUGCGAGUGUAGAGGUGAAAUUCGUAGAUAUUCGCAGGAACACCAGUGGCGAAGGCGACUCGCUGGAUCAUUGCUGACGCUGAGACGCGAAAGCGUGGGGAGCAAACAGG
rnacentral:rRNA from 1 species